rnacentral:rRNA from 1 species
UGGAGCAUGUGGUUUAAUUCGAUGAUACGCGAGGAACCUUACCUGGGCUCAAAUGUAUGUUGACGUAUUCUGAAAGGGAUACUUCUUCGGACAAUAUACAAGGUGCUGCAUGGUUGUCGUCAGCUCGUGCCGUGAGGUGUCGGGUUAAGUCCCAUAACGAGCGCAACCCCUAUCAUUAGUUGCCAUCAGGUCAAGCUGGGGACUCUAAUGAAACUGCCUACGCAAGUAGUGAGGAAGGCGGGGAUGACGUCAAAUCAGCACGGCCCUUACGUCCAGGGCUACACACGUGCUACAAUGGCCGAUACAGAGGGCAGCUACCUGGUGACAGGAUGCAAAUCUCCAAAGUCGGUCUCAGUUCGGAUCGGAGUCUGCAACCCGACUCCGUGAAGUUGGAUUCGCUAGUAAUCGCGCAUCAGCCAUGGCGCGGUGAAUACGUUCCCGGGCCUU